UACGGGGGGGGCAAGCGUUGUUCGGAAUUACUGGGCGUAAAGGGCGCGUAGGCGGCCUUCUAAGUCGGACGUGAAAUCCCUCGGCUUAACCGAGGAACUGCGUCCGAUACUGAAAGGCUUGAAUCCGGGAGAGGGAUGUGGAAUUCCCGGUGUAGUGGUGGAAUGCGUAGAUAUCGGGAGGAACACCAGUGGCGAAGGCGGUUGCCUGGAGCUUUGCUGACGCUGAGGCGCGAAAGCGUGGGGAGCGAUCCGG
rnacentral:rRNA from 1 species